ncrna:unclassified sequences Mu-gpT-DE RNA
UCCUGACAGUCACAAGGUGUGGCUGACUUAACCCACGACAGGAGAUAAUCAUG